GGGGAAUAUUGCACAAUGGGCGAAAGCCUGAUGCAGCAACGCCGCGUGAGUGAUGACGGUCUUCGGAUUGUAAAGCUCUGUCUUUUGGGACGAUAAUGACGGUACCAAAGGAGGAAGCCACGGCUAACUACGUGCCAGCAGCCGCGGUAAUACGUAGGUGGCAAGCGUUGUCCGGAUUUACUGGGCGUAAAGGAUGUGUAGGCGGAUACUUAAGUGAGAUGUGAAAGCCCCGGGCUCAACCUGGGGACUGCAUUUCAAACUGGGUAUCUAGAGUGCAGGAGAGGAAAGCGGAAUUCCUAGCGUAGCGGUGAAAUGCGUAGAGAUUAGGAAGAACAUCAGUGGCGAAGGCGGCUUUCUGGACUGUAACUGACGCUCAGGUGCGAAAGCGUGGGGAGCAAAC
rnacentral:rRNA from 1 species